rnacentral:rRNA from 1 species
GACGAACGCUGGCGGCGUGCUUAACACAUGCAAGUCGAACGAUGAAGUUCCUUCGGGAAUGGAUUAGUGGCGAACGGGUGAGGAUCACGUGAGAAACCUGCCUUUCAUUUUGGGAUAACUCCGGGAAACCGGGGCUAAAACCGAAUACUCCGUCUCGGCGGCAUCGCUGAGCCGGGAAAAAAUUUUGAUGAAAGAUGGUCUCGCGGCCUAUCAGCUAGUUGGUGAGGUAAUGGCUCACCAAGGCGACGACGGGUAGCCGGCCUGAGAGGGUGAACGGCCACACUGGGACUGAGACACGGCCCAGACUCCUACGGGAGGCAGCAGUGGGGAAUAUUGCGCAAUGGACGAAAGUCUGACGCAGCGACGCCUCGUGGGGGACGAAGGUCUUCGGAUUGUAAACCCCUUUCAGCAGGGACGAAGCGAAAGUGACGGUACCUGCAGAAGAAGCACCGGCUAACUAUGUGCCAGCCGCCGCCGUAA